rnacentral:rRNA from 1 species
GGGUGAUGGAGGGAGGCGGCAGGCUAGAGCGUUGGUGGUCUAGGGUGGGCAGGUGACGGGUGGGUUUGGGGAGAAGGAGAGAGGAGAAGGGUUGUCUGGUCUCGGUCGGUUCCGUCUAGGUGUGGUGAGGGGUGGGGUGCGAGGUGCUGCGCUCGGUAUCGGCGGGAGAGACGGGCCGCCGGCGCAGCGGGAGCAGGCGGCGGCGGCGUGGAGCGCGACUGAGGAAACGGACGCACCAGCGCGCGCCCGAGGGCAGGGAGACGCAGCGGCGCGGGGCGGCGGCGGCGCCGCUGGAGCCGUCCGGAUCGCGUUCACUUUCCGUUACUACUGCUAUAAGCUACUCGACCGGCACCGUUUUUCUUUGACACCAAUUUCAGUACGGAGCUUCUGGUAUCUUCUAGUUGGCACGCAACCAUCAUGAUGCCGUCAUACUCUUCUGUUUC